CNGGCGGCGUGCUUAACACAUGCAAGUUGAACGGGCAGAUAUGGAAGCUUGCUGAAGUAUCUGUUAGUAGCGGACGGGUGAGUAAUGCAUGAGGAGCUGUCAUAGGGAGGGGGACAACAGUUGGAAACGGCUGCUAAUACCCCGUAUGCCGGAAGGUGAAAGGGAGCGAUCCGCCCGAUGAGGUACUCAUGUCCUAUCAGCUGGUUGGUGGGGUAACGGCCUACCAAGGCGACGACGGGUAGCCGGCCUGAGAGGGUGAACGGCCACACUGGAACUGAGAUACGGUCCAGACUCCUACGGGAGGCAGCAGUGGGGAAUAUUGGGCAAUGGGGGGAACCCUGACCCAGCGACGCCGCGUGAGGGAAGACGGCCUUCGGGUUGUAAACCUCUUUUGUACGGGAAGAAGGAAGUGACGGUACUGUACGAAUAAGUCCCGGCUAACUACGUGCCAGCAGCCGCGGUAAUACGUAGGGGACGAGCGUUGUCCGGAAUUACUGGGCGUAAAGGGCGCGUAGGCUGUGCUGCAAGUCAGCUGUGAAAUAUCUGGGCUUAACCUGGAUAUGCGGAUGAGACUGCAGUGCUGGAGUGCUGUAGAGGCAAGUGGAAUUCCCAGUGUAGCGGUGAAAUGCGUAGAUAUUGGGAAGAACACCGGUGGCGAAGGCGACUUGCUGGGCAGCAACUGACGCUGAGGCGCGAAAGCUAGGGGAGCGAACGGGAUUAGAUACCCCGGUAGUCCUGGCCGUAAACGAUGAAUGCUAGGUGUGGGUGUAGAGAUACAUUCGUGCCGGA
rnacentral:rRNA from 1 species